AGAUUUCCUCGUCUGUAAACAUUAAGUAUCUACAUUCACUAAAAGUAGUUCUGAAUGAAUGUUAUUUAAUGGUGCCAAUGAUGUUGGAGGAUACCUGUGCAUCUCAUGCUGUGGUUACAGCAUCAAUUGUGAUGAAUAUAGGAUACUGAGUCCCUCCUAGAAAUGACUUCAGGAACUUCACCCCCCAACUCCACAAUCUGGGAAUGGCAGACAGAUUCAGCACCAGGAGAACAUCACAUAAAGGACAAGUGUGUAUGUUUAAAAAUGGCAAGUUUCGGCCUGGCAUGGUGGCUCACGUCUAUAAUCCCAGCACUUUGGGAGGCUGAGUCUAAGUGUACAGUGCUUGUAAAGUCUGCAGUAGCAUACAGUAAUGUCCAAGGCUUUCACAUCCACUCACCACUCGCUCACUGACCCAGCCAGAGCAACUUCCAGUCCUGAAAGCUGCAUUCAUGUAUAGUUUGAGGGUAUCCAGCCUCAGAUUAUCUGAGGAUGUAGCUCAAGAUUUCCUAAUUUUGCAAACAGCAAGCUUCCCAGGAGAUUCUUAGAUUCCUGCUAACAAAAGGCGGAGACUCACUGGACAGUUACUGAAGAUAGACAGUAGGGGGCGGAAGGGCCCACGCUUCUUUGAUAUUGGUGGCUUUGGUUUUUCAGUGACGGGGGACACUUUGACUUCAGACUCAAUCACCACAAUUGCAAUCAAAAGACGGCUUUAGUUGGA
rnacentral:lncRNA from 1 species